rnacentral:rRNA from 1 species
AUGCUGCUCCGCCUCGGCCGCGUGCCCACCCUGGUCGUCUCGUCCGCGGACGCAGCGCGCGAGGUGCUGCAGCUGCAGGACCACGCCUUCGCCAACCGGCCCUCGCUCGCCAUCCCGCGGCGGCUCCUCUACGGCUGCACGGACAUCGCCUUCGCUCCCCACGGCGCCUACUGGCGAGGCGUGCGCAAGAUCGCCGUGCUCCACCUGCUGAGCCCCGCCAGGGUGCGCGCCUACCGCGGCGUGCGCGAGGAAGAGGUGGCCGAGCUUGUCCGGAAGGUGGAGCGGCAGGCACACGCAGGCGGCGGCGUGGUGCGGCUGAGCGAGCUCCUGAGCGGCUUCGCCAAGGACGUGAACGGGCGGAUCGUGCUCGGGGUGCGCGCCUCGGGCGGGGCCGGGUGGCGCGCCAAGGUGGACGCGCUGCUCGAGGAGGCCAACGCGCUGCUCGGGGAGUUCCACGUCGGCGACUACUUCCCGUGGCUGGCGUGGGUGGCCGCCGUGGACGAGACGGAUGCCAAGGUGAGCAGGGCGUUCGAGAGGAUCGAUCGCAUCCUCGAGGAGAUCGUCGUGGCCGCGAGCGCUGGCACGGGGGGACGCCACGUCGAGGCGUUCGUGCAUGUGCUGCUAUCACUGCAGAGUGAUUUGAGCGGGGCCGGGUGGCGCUUGACCAGGGACAACGUCAAGGCUCUACUCGAGCGAACAGCCAAAUCAAGUCGCCGGAGAAAUCACCAUGACCGCCCACAGCCAGGGGCGCGCUCGUUGCCUUGUCCGCCGGCAACUGGAUGCAUGCCCUCUCCAUGGCAACCACAGCCAGGGCUUCAUUAG